rnacentral:tRNA from 7 species
ACAUGUCUAGCCUAGUUGGUAGAGCACAAGGCUCUUUACCAUGAGGUCUUGGGUUCAAGCCCCAUAGUUUGUG